GCCUAGAGCCGUGUUGUUCGUAGCUGGA
rnacentral:piRNA from 1 species